CAGUGGCAUUGGCAGUGAGCUCUUACCUUCCUGCAGCUCCUGUCAGCUCGCUCCCUCCUCCGUGCAGCUCCGUUCUGUUUACAGUGUAAGUCUCGCGAGACUUACACUGUGAGCUGCACGGAGGAGGAGGGAGCUGACAGGAGCUGCAGGAAGGUAAGUAAGAGCUCACUGCCAGCCCCCAACAGGACUGCUGGGCUUGUAAUGAGCCCGGCGGUCCUGGUCUGUAUUGUGGCAAUGCAAAAUUGCCACAAUACAGACAUUGACUUGAGUAUAAGCCGAGUUGGGGUUUUUUCAGCACAGAAAAUGUGCCGAAAAACUCUGCUUAUACUCUAGUAUAUACGGUAACUUUAAAUUUAAGAAACUGCAAUAAUUUUUUUGCAUGAUUAACUCUUUGGCUGUCCAGCCACUAGAGACAGUUCUGCAGUUUCAAAAAUGUUUGACGCUGGAUGUCCUCACGCUUUUCAUGAGGACGUCCAACUUCGAGAAAAAAAGUAAAAGCCAUAGAAAAGCAU